UACGUAGGCAGCGAGCGUUGUUCGGAGUUACUGGGCGUAAAGGGUGUGUAGGCGGUUGUUUAAGUUUGGUGUGAAAUCUCCCGGCUCAACUGGGAGGGUGCGCCGAAUACUGAAUGACUAGAGUGCGGGAGAGGUGAGUGGAAUUCCGUGGUGUAGCGGUGAAAUGCGCAGAUAUCGGGAAGAACACCCGUGGCGAAGGCGGCUCUCUGGGACGGUACUGACGCUGAGGAGCGAAAGCGUGGGGAGCGAACAGG
rnacentral:rRNA from 1 species